rnacentral:lncRNA from 1 species
GGAAUAUCCAAGAAUAUCCCAGUGCACCACAUACAUGGUUAAAGAGAUCAAAGUCUGUUGUUGAAUUGAGGAAAGAAGAGAGCCCACCAUUUGUACUAAAGGAUGACAUAGACACCAACCUGAAACAGCUGAGGUACCAGAAGAAGAAGGAGCUGGAGCACCAGCUUGCCAGACAAAGGGCCACACUUGAACCCACCUUCAAGAGCAGCUUGGAAACUCUGAAAGAGUCUGACAGUUUGAAAUACUUGUCCUUUUCUCUUGUUGAAGCAUCAAGAAAAGCUGGAUUUUCCUACAUUGUAUACCCUAGGAAAAAGAAGGGACUAUGGAAAAAGAAAGGAUUGAAAUUCCAGAAGCUUGCACUUGUAUAUGAAUAUCUGUC